ACUGCUCAGUAACACGUGGAUAACCUGCCCUAAGGAAGGGGAUACCCCCGGGAAACUGGGGAUAAUACCCUAUAGGUUACAGAUGCUGGAAUGCUCUGUAACCGAAAGUUCCGGCGCCCUAGGAUGGAUCUGCGGCCGAUUAGGUUGUUGUCGGGGUAACGGCCCAACAAGCCAGUAAUCGGUACGGGUUGUGGGAGCAAGAGCCCGGAGUUGGAUUCUGAGACACGAAUCCAGGCCCUACGGGGCGCAGCAGGCGCGAAAACUUUACAAUGCGGGCAACCGUGAUAAGGGAACCUCGAGUGCCUGUAUAUGCAGGCUGUCUGGGUGUCUAAAACACACCUAAAGAAAGGGCCGGGCAAGACCGGUGCCAGCCGCCGCGGUAAUACCGGCGGCUCGAGUGGUGGCCACUUUUAUUGGGCUUAAAGCGUUCGUAGCUGGGUUAUUAAGUCCCUUGGGAAAUCCGACGGCUUAACCGUCGGGCGUCUAAGGGAUACUGGUAAUCUUGGAACCGGGAGAGGUGAGGGGUACUUCGGGGGUAGGAGUGAAAUCCUGUAAUCCUCGAGGGACCACCUGUGGCGAAGGCGCCUCACCAGAACGGCUUCGACAGUGAGGGACGAAAGCUGGGGGAGCAAACCGGAUUAGAUACCCGGGUAGUCCCAGCCGUAAACGAUGUGCGUUAGGUGUAUCGGUGACCACGAGUCACCGAGGUGCCGAAGGGAAACCGUGAAACGUACCGCCUGGGGAAGUACGGUCGCAAGGCUGAAACUUAAAGGAAUUGGCGGGGGAGCACA
rnacentral:rRNA from 1 species